AACGAACGCUGGCGGCAUGCCUAACACAUGCAAGUCGAACGAGACCUUCGGGUCUAGUGGCGCACGGGUGCGUAACGCGUGGGAACCUGCCCUUAGGUUCGGAAUAACUCCCCGAAAGGGGUGCUAAUACCGGAUAAUGUCUUCGGCCCAAAGAUUUAUCGCCUUUGGAUGGGCCCGCGUUGGAUUAGCUAGUUGGUAGGGUAAAAGCCUACCAAGGCGACGAUCCAUAGCUGGUCUGAGAGGAUGAUCAGCCACACUGGGACUGAGACACGGCCCAGACUCCUACGGGAGGCAGCAGUGGGGAAUAUUGGACAAUGGGCGGAAGCCUGAUCCAGCAAUGCCGCGUGAGUGAUGAAGGCCUUAGGGUUGUAAAGCUCUUUUACCCGGGAUGAUAAUGACAGUACCGGGAGAAUAAGCUCCGGCUAACUCCGUG
rnacentral:rRNA from 1 species